rnacentral:rRNA from 1 species
UACGUAGGGUGCGAGCGUUGUCCGGAAUUACUGGGCGUAAAGAGCUCGUAGGUGGUUUGUCACGUUGUCCGUGAAAACUCACAGCUUAACUGUGGGCGUGCGGGCGAUACGGGCAGACUGGAGUACUGUAGGGGAGACUGGAAUUCCUGGUGUAGCGGUGAAAUGCGCAGAUAUCAGGAAGAACACCCGUGGCGAAAGCGGCUCUCUGGAACGGUACUGACGCUGAGACGCGAAAGCGUGGGGAGCGAACAGG